AUUGAACGCUGGCGGCAGGCCUAACACAUGCAAGUCGAACGGUAACAGGAAGCAGCUUGCUGCUUUGCUGACGAGUGGCGGACGGGUGAGUAAUGUCUGGGAAACUGCCUGAUGGAGGGGGAUAACUACUGGAAACGGUAGCUAAUACCGCAUAACGUCGCAAGACCAAAGAGGGGGACCUUCGGGCCUCUUGCCAUCGGAUGUGCCCAGAUGGGAUUAGCUAGUAGGUGGGGUAACGGCUCACCUAGGCGACGAUCCCUAGCUGGUCUGAGAGGAUGACCAGCCACACUGGAACUGAGACACGGUCCAGACUCCUACGGGAGGCAGCAGUGGGGAAUAUUGCACAAUGGGCGCAAGCCUGAUGCAGCCAUGCCGCGUGUAUGAAGAAGGCCUUCGGGUUGUAAAGUACUUUCAGCGGGGAGGAAGGGAGUAAAGUUAAUACCUUUGCUCAUUGACG
rnacentral:rRNA from 1 species